rnacentral:rRNA from 1 species
GACGAACGCUGGCGGCGUGCCUAAUACAUGCAAGUAGAACGCUGAAGAGAGGAGCUUGCUCUUCUUGGAUGAGUUGCGAACGGGUGAGUAACGCGUAGGUAACCUGCCUUGUAGCGGGGGAUAACUAUUGGAAACGAUAGCUAAUACCGCAUAACAAUGGAUGACACAUGUCAUUUAUUUGAAAGGGGCAAUUGCUCCACUACAAGAUGGACCUGCGUUGUAUUAGCUAGUAGGUGAGGUAACGGCUCACCUAGGCGACGAUACAUAGCCGACCUGAGAGGGUGAUCGGCCACACUGGGACUGAGACACGGCCCAGACUCCUACGGGAGGCAGCAGUAGGGAAUCUUCGGCAAUGGGGGCAACCCUGACCGAGCAACGCCGCGGGAGUGAAGAAGGUUUUCGGAUCGUAAAGCUCUGUUGUAAGUCAAGAACGAGUGUGAGAGUGGAAAGUUCACACUGUGGCGGUAGCUUACCAGAAAGAGACGGCUAACUACGUG